UCCGGCUUGUCACCGGCAGUUUCCUCAGAGUGCCCGGCUCUACCCGGUGGCAACUGAAGAUGAGGGUUGCGCUCGUUGCGGGACUUAACCCAACAUCUCACGACACGAGCUGACGACAGCCAUGCAGCACCUGUGCAUCCGGGUAUUGCUACCUCGUCGGGCUUUCACCCCUCUACUACUGUCUCUUGCGAGAAGGCGAUGUUUCCACCGCUGGUCAGUAGCGGUUCAAGCCCAAGUAAGGUUCUUCGCGUUGCGUCGAAUUGAACCACAUGUUCCACCGCUUGUGCGGGCCCCCGUCAAUUCCUUUGAGUUUCAGUCUUGCGACCGUACUCCCCAGGCGCAGGACUUAACGCGUUAGCUACGGGACGCACCCCCAACGGGAUGCACCCCAAGUCCUGAU
rnacentral:misc_RNA from 1 species